GUACAUUUAUUAACACUUCCAUUGUUUAGCACCUCCUUCAUUUGAACUGCAAACCACACCCAUGGUGGUAUAUAAGGGGGUUUGAAAGGGGGUCAUAUAAACAUUGCCGUAUAUAUAUAUAUUUUUUUACAGGUAACAUACCCAUUUCAGACAGAAAAUGUGCUAUCUGUCUGCUCUCUUUCUCUCUCUGUAUCUCUGUCUGUCUCUCUCUCUCUCUCUCUCUCUCUCUCUCUCUCUCUCUGUCUCUCUCUCUCUCUCUCUCUCUCUCUCUCUCUCUCUCUCUCUCUCUCUCUCUCUCUCUCUCUCUCUCUCUCUCUCUACUCUAUGGCUGCCUCCUCCAUAUUCAUGAGUUAUUAUUGUUAUUGCAGGCUUGGAACACCUGCUUCCAAAUUACUGCUGUAAUGACCAAUUACAGUCCCGACUAUAUUAACACUUUCUACUGUGUGUGAGCUGCUGAUAGGCUUUUUGGUUACCCUCAACAUAGAACAUUCAAUGGAAUUCCAAAUCAACAAUUGAAAAGUGGAAUUGAUUGUCAAUGACAAUGUUUCUGUUCUUGAAUAGGAAUCUCAAUUCACUCGACAUCUAUAUCUUCAUUACUCUGUGGUAGACAUGUCAGAACUACACAGGGUUCCUUAUUUGGCAAUCGGCACACUUGAGUACCUCUGAUUGACACACGGUCUAGAGCCACCACCAGGGGGAGUCAUGCCGCAUCACGCCACUCAGAUGGGUGGCUGACAGCCAUAGGGAGUGGAGAGGAAUAAAGGUGAGGAGGUUGAGAGAAGAUGGGGAGCUGUCAACAGCUCAUCAGGCAGCGGUAGACAGCUGGGGCCAACCAAGUAAUUUCCCUGGGUGAUUAGGUGUGUGUGUGAUAGCAUAAGGGCAAUUGGGGUGAUUACCACUGAGAUUUUGGAGCUGGAGAGAACACUGUGGGUAGGACAUUGAGGAGUGAAGUUUCCUUCAGAGGUACAGAGAGAAAGAUAAGUGAAAAGGAUGAGGAGAGAGAACUGGCUUCUGACUGUAAAGGAGAAAAAUGGUGUUGUCUUCUUUUUUCUAGAUGAAGUUAAUUUUGCAAUGUGCUGUUUUCUACACACUCCUAUCCGACAGGUACUGUCUUCACACUCCUAUCCGACAGGUACUGUCUUCACACUCCUAUCCGACAGGUACUGUCUUCACACUCCUAUCCGACAGGUACUGUCUUCACACUCCUAUCUGACAGGUACUGUCUUCACACUCCUAUCCGACAGGUACUGUCUUCACACUCCUAUCCGACAGGUACUGUCUUCACACUCCUAUCCGACAGGUACUGUCUUCACACUCCUAUCCGACAGGUACUGUCUUCACACUCCUAUCCGACAGGUACUGUCUUCACACUCCUAUCCGACAGGUACUGUCUUCACACUCCUAUACGAGAAGUACUGUCUUCACACUCCUAUCCGACAGGUACUGUCUUCACACUCCUAUCCGACAGGUACUGUCUUCACACUCCUAUCUGACAGGUACUGUCUUCACACUCCUAUCCGACAGGUACUGUCUUCACACUCCUAUCCGACAAGUACUGUCUUCACACUCCUAUCCGACAGGUACUGUCUUCACACUCCUAUCUGACAGGUACUGUUUUCUACACACUCCUAUCCGACAGGUACUGUCUUCACACUCCUAUCUGACAGGUACUGUCUUCACACUCCUAUCCGAAAGGUACUGUCUUCACACUCCUAUCUGACAGGUACUGUCUUCACACUCCUAUCCGACAGGUACUGUCUUCACACUCCUAUCUAACAGGUACUGUUUUCUACACACUCCUAUCCGACAGGUACUGUCUUCUACACACUCCUAUCUGACAGGUACUGUCUUCACACUCCUAUCUGACAGGUACUGUUUUCUACACACUCCUAUCCGACAGGUACUGUCUUCACACUCCUAUCUGACAGGUACUGUCUUCACACUCCUAUCCGACAGGUACUGUCUUCACACUCCUAUCCGACAGGUACUGUCUUCACACUCCUAUCUGACAGGUACUGUCUUCACACUCCUAUCUGACAGGUACUGUCUUCACACUCCUAUCCGACAGGUACUGUCUUCACACUCCUAUCCGACAGGUACUGUCUUCACACCCCUAUCCGACAGGUACUGUCUUCACACUCCUAUCCAACAGGUACUGUCUUCACACUCCUAUCCGACAGGUACUGUCUUCACACUCCUAUCUGACAGGUACUGUCUUCACACUCCUAUCUGACAGGUACUGUCUUCACACUCCUAUCCGACAGGUACUGUCUUCACACUCCUAUCCGACAGGUACUGUCUUCACACUCCUAUCCGACAGGUACUGUCUUCACACUCCUAUCCGACAGGUACUGUCUUCACACUCCUAUCCGACAGGUACUGUCUUCACACUCCUAUCCGACAGGUACUGUCUUCACACUCCUAUCUGACAGGAACUGUCUUCACACUCCUAUCCGACAGGUACUGUCUUCACACUCCUAUCUGACUGGUACUGUCUUCACACUCCUAUCCGACAGGUACUGUCUUCACACUCCUAUCCGACAGGUACUGUCUUCACACUCCUAUCCGACAGGUACUGUCUUCACACUCCUAUCCGACAGGUACUGUCUUCACACUCCUAUCUGACAGGAACUGUCUUCUACACACUCCUAUCCGACAGGUAAUGUCUUCUACACACUCCUAUCCGACAGGUACUGUCUUCACACUCCUAUCUGACAGGUACUGUCUUCACACUCCUAUCCGACAGGUACUGUCUUCACACUCCUAUCCGACAGGUACUGUCUUCACACUCCUAUCCGACAGGUACUGUCUUCACACUCCUAUCUGACAGGUACUGUCUUCACACUCCUAUCCGACAGGUACUGUCUUCACACUCCUAUCUGACAGGUACUGUCUUCAAACUCCUAUCCAACAGAUACUGUUUUCACACUCCUAUCUGACAGGUACUGUCUUCACACUCCUAUCUGACAGGUACUGUCUUCACACUCCUAUCCGACAGAUACUGUUUUCACACUCCUACCUGACAGGUACUGUCUUCACACUCCUAUCUGACAGGUACUGU